rnacentral:rRNA from 1 species
UACGAAGGGGGCUAGCGUUGCUCGGAAUCACUGGGCGUAAAGGGUGCGUAGGCGGGUCUUUAAGUCAGGGGUGAAAUCCUGGAGCUCAACUCCAGAACUGCCUUUGAUACUGAAGAUCUUGAGUUCGGGAGAGGUGAGUGGAACUGCGAGUGUAGAGGUGAAAUUCGUAGAUAUCGGGAGGAACACCAGUGGCGAAGGCGGCGAUCUGGGAAGAUACUGACGCUGAGGUGCGAAAGCGUGGGGAGCGAACAGG